AUGUGCUUACGCUACGGAAUCACAAAAGAGGGUGGGAAUUGUUUACUGAAGGGUGAAGAGCCUACUAAACAAUUAAAUAUGUACCAAGACAUCUAUCAAAAAGAUGCCAUAUUGUUGAUAAGUACACAUCAAGCAAAUCGACUGAUGAACCUCCUUAUCCAAGCCAAACAUUUCUUCUCAAUUUUCACUUUGCAGAAGACUUAUGUUGUUCCUGCCCAGCUUUCUCCUUCUUGUCCCAUAUCGAGGGGGCCUGAGAGCAUGCAACAAAUACAAAAAUCCAUCCAGACACAUUUGGCAACUGCAACCACCCCAACCAGCUUUGGGUUAACACAUGAUCCACCUCCAGUCCGCAUCCCAUUAACUGCUACAAGAAUCUACCACGCAAAAAAGAACUGCUACACGAAUCUACAUACGCUGCCACCAUGA
rnacentral:rRNA from 1 species